AGCGAACGCUGGCGGCAGGCUUAACACAUGCAAGUCGAACGCAUCCUUCGGGGUGAGUGGCAGACGGGUGAGUAACACGUGGGAACGUACCCUUCGAUCUGGGAUAACUUCGGGAAACUGGAGCUAAUACCGGAUACGCCCUUUGGGGAAAGGUUUACUGUCGAAGGAUCGGCCCGCGUCUGAUUAGCUAGUUGGUGGGGUAACGGCCUACCAAGGCGACGAUCAGUAGCUGGUCUGAGAGGAUGAUCAGCCACACUGGGACUGAGACACGGCCCAGACUCCUACGGGAGGCAGCAGUGGGGAAUAUUGGACAAUGGGCGCAAGCCUGAUCCAGCCAUGCCGCGUGAGUGAUGAAGGCCUUAGGGUUGUAAAGCUCUUUUGUCCGGGACGAUAAUGACGGUACCGGAAGAAUAAGCCCCGGCUAACUUCGUG
rnacentral:rRNA from 1 species